rnacentral:tRNA from 1 species
GUUCAAAUUUCCUUAUGUUUAUCGUUCAUUCUAACUCUACAAAUGGACCU